GGGGGCGAUCGGCUUCGACCGAAUGUUGAUCCGUCCUGAUGUGGCGCGCCGAGGGCCAGGCACCUCGUAAAUCCGACUGGAAAACCUCAAGUGCCAACACGCACUACUCCCUCGCUGCCUAAAUAACAGGCGCGACGCUGCGGUCCCUUCGCCUGCGGGGGGCCAAAGCGACACACAGCAGGCUGGUCACGCGAUGGCUGCUCGGCCCAUCCGUGACGAGAUCCAGUCGAGCUGGUCCGCGACGAUCCUGUUCGUCGGAGCUUCGCGGGUGACACCAAACGACGGACUACGCGCGUAGAAGCUCAGGUCGAGGCAUUCUGGGACGCGGGUUCGAUUCCCGCCGCCUCCACCA
rnacentral:tmRNA from 1 species